rnacentral:rRNA from 1 species
AGAGUUUGAUCCUGGCUCAGGACGAACGCUGGCGGCGUGCCUAACACAUGCAAGUCGAGCGGAGAUACAUGGAAGGUUUACCGGAUAUGUAUUUUAGCGGCGGACGGGUGAGUAACGCGUGAGAAACCUGCCUUGUACAGGGGGAUAACACAUCGAAAGAUGUGCUAAUACCGCAUAACAUACAGUUAUCGCAUGGUGAUUGUAUCAAAGGAGCAAUCCGGUAUAAGAUGGUCUCGCGUCUGAUUAGCUAGUUGGUAGGGUAAAGGCCUACCAAGGCGACGAUCAGUAGCCGACCUGAGAGGGUGAUCGGCCACAUUGGGACUGAGACACGGCCCAGACUCCUACGGGAGGCAGCAGUGGGGAAUAUUGCGCAAUGGGGGAAACCCUGACGCAGCAACGCCGCGUGGAGGAAGAAGGUUUUCGGAUCGUAAACUCCUGUCCUCUGGGAAGAAAUUUGACGGUACCAGAGGAGGAAGCCACGGCUAACUACGUGCCAGCAGCCGCGGUAAUACGUAGGUGGCGAGCGUUGUCCGGAAUUACUGGGUGUAAAGGGCGUGUAGGCGGGACUGCAAGUCAGAUGUGAAAUACCGGGGCUCAACCCCGGGGCUGCAUUUGAAACUGUAGUUCUUGAGUGCAGGAGAGGAAAGCGGAAUUCCUAGUGUAGCGGUGAAAUGCGUANAUAUUAGGAGGAACACCANNUGGCGAANGCGGCUUUCUGGACUGUAACUGACGCUGAGGCGCGAAAGCGUGGGGAGCGAACAGGAUUAGAUACCCUGNUAGUCCACGCCGUAAACGAUGNAUACUAGGUGUAGGANG